CAUCCCCCCACCCCACCCACAACGAUGAGCGGUACGGCAAGGGCCUCUCAGGACUUGGAGACCUCCCAUCCUUCUCUGACAUGAGGCCCGGUGGCUGCUAUUACAGGAUUCAGAGAGGGAGUUUGGCAGCUUGGUACCUGUUCUGGAGAAACACCCACACAGCUGGGAUUGUUCUGGGUGUGAUUUCACCAACUGGAAAUGCCUCCCGGACCCUCUGCCUUUAAAGUCAUGGUUCCCAGGCUGCACAGCUUGUGGGCAGGCUCUGAGGUCACAACUGAGGCACAGGAGGGAAAGUCUGGGAAGGGCCUUGGGAUGGGGCAGCAGUGAAGGCAAUCCCGAGAAGCCGAGCGUCUGGCGUGUCCACUAUGGAAGAGUCUGAACCAUCGGCUGGUACUGAGAAGUCCUGCAGGGGUAGAGGUCCUGACCAGCUUAAAGAAGGCUUGACCGGAGCCCCGUUGGCAGCUCCCACACUAUGAGGAAGCCCGGGCCACAUGGAGAGGACACAGCCCUCGUUCCAGCCGACAGCCCAGCUGUGUCUCAGCUGCCAGACAGAAGAGUUCAGUGUGCUGGCAUGGAAGUGGAACCCGGAAGAUGUGUUACCUCAUCCCCUUCAAAGAAGCUUGGUUCUCAGGGCUCAGCAUAAGACAUCUCAUGGGAAUUGAGAAGGGGCUCCUUGUCUGAGACCAGAUGACAAGGAGAAGAUGUUAAUAUGGGGAAGUCCCCAGGGUGGGGUAGAUGACAGCAGGAUGACACCUGCCUGGGACUUUCCCACCAGCUCUGCCCAAGGUCACUGCACACUUGAGCUGAGCUGCUGAGGCACUCUGAGCCGGCUGAGGGUGUCUGUGCCUCCCCA
rnacentral:lncRNA from 13 species